GAAGCUGGAAUUGCUAGUAAUCACAGGUCAGCAUACUGUGGUGAAUACGUUCCCGGGCCUUGUACACACCGCCCGUCACACCAUGAGAGUUGAGAAUACCCGAAGCCCAUGUCAAAGUGGUCGAAGGUAGGCUUGAUGAUUGGGGUGAAGUCGUAACAAGGUAGC
rnacentral:rRNA from 1 species